rnacentral:rRNA from 1 species
UACGGAGGGAGCUAGCGUUGUUCGGAUUUACUGGGCGUAAAGCGCACGUAGGCGGAUUGUUAAGUCAGGGGUGAAAUCCUGGAGCUCAACUCCAGAACUGCCUUUGAUACUGGCAAUCUCGAGUCCGGAAGAGGUAAGUGGAACUCCUAGUGUAGAGGUGAAAUUCGUAGAUAUUAGGAAGAACACCAGUGGCGAAGGCGGCUUACUGGUCCGGAACUGACGCUGAGGUGCGAAAGCGUGGGGAGCAAACAGG